UACGAAGGGGGCUAGCGUUGUUCGGAAUUACUGGGCGUAAAGCGUGCGCAGGCGGCUUCUCAAGUCAGGGGUGAAAGCCCGGAGCUCAACUCCGGAACUGCCAUUGAAACUGUGAGACUUGAGGAUGAGAGAGGUGAGUGGAAUUCCCAGUGUAGAGGUGAAAUUCGUAGAUAUUGGGAAGAACACCGGUGGCGAAGGCGGCUCACUGGCUCAUUUCUGACGCUCAGGCGCGACAGCGUGGGGAUCAAACAGG
rnacentral:rRNA from 1 species